rnacentral:rRNA from 1 species
GAUGAACGCUGGCGGCGUGCCUAAUACAUGCAAGUCGAGCGAACAGACGAGGAGCUUGCUCCUCUGACGUUAGCGGCGGACGGGUGAGUAACACGUGGAUAACCUACCUAUAAGACUGGGAUAACUUCGGGAAACCGGAGCUAAUACCGGAUAAUAUAUUGAACCGCAUGGUUCAAUAGUGAAAGACGGUUUUGCUGUCACUUAUAGAUGGAUCCGCGCCGCAUUAGCUAGUUGGUAAGGUAACGGCUUACCAAGGCAACGAUGCGUAGCCGACCUGAGAGGGUGAUCGGCCACACUGGACCUGAGACACGGUCCAGACUCCUACGGGAGGCAGCAGUAGGGAAUCUUCCGCAAUGGGCGAAAGCUUGACGGAGCAACGCGGCGUGAGUGAGGAAGGUCUUCGGAUCGUAAAACGCUGUUAUUAGGGAAGAACAAAUGUGUAAGUAACCAUGCACGUCUUGACGGUACCUAAGCAGAAAGCCACGGCAAACUACGU